AGAGGGUGAGGAGCUGACUGGAAGCAUCAUUCUCCAGGAUGUCAGAGUCUCCUUGGAAGAGCCCUAAUUAAGGACUCAGAAUGAUUGACAGGUGGUGGAAGCUCGAGAAAGCACACUUGAUAUGCAGCGGAAGACAGUCUCUGAGUUGCAAAAAACCUGGCAAUUGGAGACCUUGAAAAACUUUUGCUUAACAGAACGCAUGACUGGGAGGCAUCAGGAAACUUACAAUCAUAGCAGAAGGCAAAGGGAAAACAAGCAUGUCUUACCAUGGUGGAGCAGGAGAGAGGGAGAGAGAAGGGGUAAGUGCCACAUACUUUCAAACCAUCAGAUCUCAUGAGAACACAUCCACUAUCAUGAAAAAAGCAAGGGGAAAAUCUUCCCCUGUGAUCUGGUCACGUCCAACCGGGCCCCUUCUCUAGUUUGACAUGAGAUUUGGGCAUGGACACAAAUCCAAAUUAUAUCACUUACUGAGACACCUAAUUACUGACUGUCUUCCAAGAUACCUGGAUAUCUGGAAUAAGGCCCUAAAUAGGAGGCAGAAGCAGGUCAGUCAAGAACAUCAUUACUAAAACCAUAAUACAUGGAGCUCCUGGGACCACACAUUGGUGUUUCAAGGGCUUGGCCAGAAAGAGUCUGUCCUUGAGAACCUGGCCAAUUCUGUGUACCUGGACAGGAGUGAGUUUAUGCUCUGAAAUGCUGAGAACCAGAUCCUGAGUGCUAUUAGCCCCACCGAGGCAGUAUUGCCAAGUGACAUUAUUUGGGUACCCAGGUAGCCUCCCUUUCUGAGAUCUGCAGCUCUGUAACUUCCAACUGUGUACAGCACACUGCCCAAGUAGGCACUCAAUGCACACUCUUUGGUUUGAC
rnacentral:lncRNA from 1 species